AUGGGCAAGAGAGACCCCCAACAAGCCCCAGGGGAAAAUGUCCUCGAAUGCCUUUUUCCAUCAGACCUGCCGGGAGGAGCUCGGGAAGCUCACCACUCCUCAGUCUGCUUCCCCAAGUUCUGGAAGAAAUGCUCUGAGAGAUGGAAGAUCAUGCCUGCAAAGGAAAAAAAUCAAAGUUUAAAGAUCUGGCCAAGAUCGACUAGGCUCCUUAUGACAGGGAGAAAGGAGAUAAGAAUGGAAAGAAAGAAGAUGCUAGUGCUCCAAAAAGACCAUUGUCUGCUUUCUCCCUGUUUUGCUCUGGACAUCGCCCAAGAUCAAAAGUGAACACCCAGGUCUGUCUAUUGGAGAUAUUGCAAAGAAACUGGGUGAGAUGUGGUCUGCACAUCUGCCAAAGAUAAACAACUGUAUGAGCAGAAAGCAGCUAAACUGAACAAGUAAUUAAAAGGAUAUUGCUGCAUACCAUGCCAAAGGCAAAGGGAAGCAGGAAAGAAGGGUCCUGGUAGGCCAGCAGGCUCAAGGAAGAGGAAUGAACCAGGAGAUGAGGAAGAGGAGAGGAGGAGGAAGAUAAGAAGAUGAGGAUGAAGAAUAA
rnacentral:lncRNA from 1 species